rnacentral:rRNA from 1 species
CCCUUAGAUGUUCUGGGCUGCACGCGCGCUACACUGAUGCACUCAACGAGUUUACGACCUUGCCCGAUAGGGCUGGGUAAUCUUUUUAAAAUGCAUCGUGAUGGGGAUAGAUUAUUGCAAUUAUUAAUCUUCAACGAGGAAUUCCUAGUAAGCGCGAGUCAUCAGCUCGUGCUGAUUACGUCCCUGCCCUUUGUACACACCGCCCGUCGCUCCUACCGAUUGAGUGCUCAGGUGAAUAAUUCGGACUGCAGCAAUGUUUGGAUCCCGAACGUUGCAGCGGAAAGUUUAGUGAACCUUAUCACUUAGAGGAAGGAGAAGUCGUAACA